AGCAGACGUGUGAGCAAGGCGGGGCUAGCACAGGAGACCCAGUGUACCGCAGAGGACCCCGGGAACGAGGCGGGGCUGGCUUAGAGGACCCAAGGCACAGCGAACCUAGGCACUGCGGCAGAGGGCAGGAGCAACGCGGCGCUGGUUUAGGGUACCUAAGGUACGGCGGCGGACCACGAGCGUGAGGUGGCACUGGCUUAGGGGACCCACAGCACAGUGGCGGACCGCGGCACGGCGGGGGACCGCGGCAGGGCAGCAGGCCGUGGGCAUGCGGCGGAGCUGGCUUAGGAGACCCGCGGCAUGGCGGCGGACCACGGGCGUGAGGCGGGGCUGACUUAGGGGAUCCGAGACUUUGAGCACACCCCAGAGACUAACCAGUUCCGGAAGUGUUCUGAUCGGGAGGCCGGACACCUCUGCAUCAGUGAUGGUCACUCAGAUACAGCAGAAGCCACUGGCUGGAUCCAAAGAUGAUAUCUGUGAGUGCAGAAGGGUGAGAAGACUUCCGCAGUUCAGGCAGCUAGUAAGUAGGACAUCUGGGAUUGGGCCUGAUUCAGUCUGACUGCAAUGCGUAUACCCAGCCACGCUACUCCAAUGCCAUCCUAGGAAGAGCCAUCUCCCACUGGGUAUUUCCCAGUGGUGAGCGUUUGGGUGAGCCUAGUUCUUAGAGGAAGUCAUUCCUGAUGGUGAGAGCAAUUUCUGAGCAGCUUCCAUGCUAUUUUGGAGGACUAAACUUCUCUCCUGCCAUGAGUGAAGUCUCAUGCAGGACACUCCUGUCAGUAAUAUAAGUGUCCACUGCAGAACAAUAAUCAAAACUUCUUAUUUCAAAGUAAAAAUGUCUCCUCUUUACACAUCUGCCCCAGGCAGGGAGGUUUAUGGGGCGAUGUGGUAGGACUGGGGGAGGGGAGGAUAAGAUUGAAUUCUUGUCUUUUUCCUGAGCUCCUUCUGCUCUUGCCCAAGUUGCUGGCUCCAAGGUUAAGGUCUGGCCAAUUCAGUUUCUGGUAAGAGUCCUUCCUGGCUUUCAUAUGCCAACUUCUCUCUAUGUCCUCAUCUGGCCUUUCUUUGAUGUAUGCACAUGGAGAGAGAGAACAAGCCCUCUGGUAUAUCUUCUUAUGAGGACACUAGUCCUAUUAGAUCAGGGCCCCUCUCUUAUGACCUCAUUUAACCGUAAUUCCUUAAAGGCCCCAUCUCCAAAUGCAGCCACACUGGAUAGAUUAGGGCUUCAAUGUAUGAAUCUGGGGGGCGGAGCACACACAUUGUUUCCAUAACAAGCUUCCAUAGCACCCAUGGCACACACUGCCAAUCAAUCGCAACACUUCUUCCAACCGAAUUUUGAUGAGCCUCAGAACACUCUGUUCAGCCUUCUCAAGGUCAAAGUCUCUUGGACCUGGGAUUCAUAUGUGUGUCUUAGUUUCCCCCAGGGAGCUACAGCCAUGAGAGACUUUAAUUCAGAGGAGAGAAAUAUGAGAAAGUGGACAUUGCCAGUGAAGGUGGCAAGGCAUAGCACAAAGACCUCAGGCCCUACUACUGGUUGAGGCCCCAGCUGCUAUAUGUUGCGCAAACCAAAGUGCUGUGGGUGUUGACCAGAUAUGUGAUUUGAGUAUUGUUCUUGGGUGAAAAGCUUUCCAACUUGGCUUUUUGACCCUCUAAGAGAGUCUUAGUUACUCAAUACAUUUAAUACAUCGGUUUCCUGCUUAAAGUAGUUAGGGAGGGUUCUGUUGUUUCAAGGACAAAUGCAACUGAUACUUGCAUUUUAUGGGCUGAUACGCCCAGCUCUUUGCAGUUUCCUAAAUGUGCAAGGCGGCUCUAUGCAGAUCUGUUGUAUCCCAGUGGCUCCCUUUGUCCAAGAUACUCUCUCCACUCAGACCACUUCGGAGGCUUUUAGCUACAAGUAACAGAAAACCUAUCAGAGAAUGGCUUAAACAAUUACAGUUUAUUUUGUCCAUAAAAAAGAAAUCUUUAUGGGUCUUGAGAAAAUAGGAUUACUAUCUUGAAAGAUAAGAUUACUGUAUGAUACUCAGUAAUUCUACUUUUGGGUAUAUACCCAGAAUAACUGAAGGCACCAUCUCAAAGAGAGUUUUACACCCUUGUUCACAGCAGCAUCAUUCACAAAAGUCAAAAGUUAGAAGCAAUCCAAGUGUUCAUUGAAAGAUGCAUGAUGGCAAAAAGAAGCCACCUAGAAGACAACUAACAACAGCCCUGGCCUGGGGACGUCACUUUGGGCAUCUCCCCUCCUGUUGGGUCUACAGUCACAAGGGUCCUUCUGCUUUGCUGCCUUACCGUAGAGGUUUGCUGCAUUCCUUUGAGCCUACAGAUAAGGUGCUACUCAAGACUUGGAAGACAGGAUCUCUAGAAAGCCAACUAGGGGAAAAGUGGACUGAACCUUGGGACGUGCUCCUCACCAUCCCCACCACAGUGAAACUGGCAGAAAUAAAACCUUGGAUCCAUCACACAGGGUAAAGAAAGCACCAGAGGAGCGAUGGACUGCUGAACAUCAAGAAGACCUGAAAGUCAUCUUCUGAAUACAAUGACUUACAUUCUUUAAUUACUUUUUGCUUAACCCCAUGUUAUGGAGAACUUAUUCCUUUCAAAUGGGAUGAAAAUAUUUGGGUAUAUUCAGCAGAAAUGUUCUAAACAUCUCUGAAUUUUGCCUCGCAGGAAGAACUUAUGUUGAACCAACUUUCACUUCAUAUCUUGUAGGUGUUUGUACUCCCCUAGAAAGCCUUUGAAAUUAUACUUAGUUUAGGGAUAUCAAUAAGAAAAUAACCUACUCUGAUAGUUAUAACUGGGGACCUGUGGUAACUCUAAAGGACAGGGAAAUGUUUUCCUUAAAAGUCACUAACAUAGCUCCAGCUGGAGAGUGUGCAAUUUUGGUCAACUGUACUAAAAACCGUCUUGUGCUUUAUCAGAGCUUGCUGUUGCAUGCAAUGUGACCCCUUAUGUGGAUCUGCAAUUAAAUGUAUUCCUAAGCCCCCUACCAGAGGGUCUAAUGCUAAGAUAUGUACUCAACAGCAAAAUGAAUACUUCCAUAUGAAACUGAUCUCACAGAAAUAAGAUAGUUUAGACUAACAGUGGGGGAAAGGUGGGAGACUCAAGAGUUGGAAAAUUUUAGUUUCAGGUAACAGCUCAUAAUCAGUGCACGUACAAGCUAUUGUUCUGGGAACUGAAGGUAUGACCCAUCCUGAUUCCAGGAGACCGUGAGCAGUUCCACCUUUGUGCCUCAGGAGGCCUGCAAGCCGUCAAGAUGGUAUCAGAGCCACCAUGCUCCAGGGUGAGACACCCACUGCCCACGGCACAGAUGGAAGAAUGCAGCUGCUUUUAUCUGAUUGACUUUUUCCCUGAGUUCCAAACCCCUUACCUACACUUCUUGUAAAACUGGUCAGUUUAAAAUGGAAUUUAAGACCAUCUGUCAGGGUACAAACCUGCUGUCUUCUCAAAUUACUGACCACAUGAAUAAAGCUCCCAUAAAGAUUCAAAAAAGAAAAAAAAAGAAUAAGACAGAUCCAUAUGACCCACUAUGGAAGGUUCUCCAUGAUAUAUUGUUAAAUAAACAAUAAAAUAUCAAAUGCUAUGUGCAUUGUGUUUCAUUUGUGUGAAAAAAGAAACAGGAAAUACGUAAGUUCAUAGGUCCACUUAGGCUCAGAUGUGUGGGGGAUACCUGUGGAGGGCUGCCCGAGCUCUGCAGCAGCGAGCACCUCCAAGGAGACACCUGGGGACAAGAGGGAUGCUCGUGUUUCUCUGAGUACCCUUUCAUACUGUUUGAGAAAAAAUUUUUUACAGUACACACAUACUGGCUCUUUACUACAUACAUAAUACAUAAGCAUAUACUAAUGUGUUUCCACACAGCCUGCUUUCCACUCCUAUUAAGUACAAAGCAGUUGUUUGCCCUAACCAUGAGAGUUUCUGGAAAUUGGAGUGAUAGGAGUAGGAAGAUCUUUAUAAAUGUCCUCACUGCUGGAGUCACUAACUCUCAUGUGUUUGCCUUCACCUGUAGGAGUUGUCGAACGAUCAGAUGGGGCUACGGGAAGUGAGGGCCCCGAGCUCCCUGCACAGUGGAGUGGGGACAGGGAGGCCGGAAAGGCUGUGGUCUGAGCGGCAGAACGCUGGCACCUGAGGUUGAGGAACUGCCAGUAACUGGGCUCUCGUUUCCUCUGUGGAUUCUCAUCACUCACAGUGAAGUCCUUGAACUUGGGGUUUCUGCAUCUAUUAAAUGGUGACAGCAAUAUCUUCUUUCUAGGUUCUUCAGAGGAAUAGGGAUGAAAGCAUCUGGCACAGUGCCUGGCUCAGCUGUAGCUGAAUGCAGCGUGUUUUGCAGUCACCCUGACUGACUGCUCCUCAACGUGUCCGAGAAGGAGGUGCGUAAUCAAUCUUAGAGUGUCCCGGAUGAUGUUGGAUGAAUGUCCUGGGUUUAAAUUCAGACUCUGAUGUUUAGAGGAGGUUAUUAACAGAAGUGUCUUUGCUCUCGUUUGACAUUAGUCUUAGGCUUUAUUCCCUUCAGUGUGGACAUCUUUGCCACCAAUUGGAGAGAACCAGCCUGAGACUGAAGCCAACACAAAGGAUCUGAAAGUGGUAGGGCAGAGGAAUAAGGGAGUAAGGUGUGGUUUCUAAAGGAAAUUCUGGUGCUUUCACCUUACAAGUAGGAAAGGACUCAGCGGGAAAGCCCAUAGCUACCCACCAUGCUUAGCGUGAUACACUGGGGUAGGGGGGUGAACGGUAGCAGGGUGGGGAGAGGGCUGGAAGGACUCAAACAGGCCAUUGCUCGUACUUAGAGUGGGCUCUGUGAAAUGCCUUGUGUGGGCAGCUGGAAGGUGAACGAUGAGCUGGGUUCCCCAGGAGGGUCUUCAGAGAAAUGAGACUAGAGGGAGUCUUUGUGAAAUAAUUAAAGGACUUCAGUAGCAGUGUGGAGAUGGGGCCCAUGGUCAUCCCCCCUCCAUUCUCCUAGCCUGGACUUUGCACAGCCUGGCCAGACUUCCAUAUGACCUAGAUCUUUCCUCACUCCCUCAGGAGUGGGUGGUGGAAAGGUGACAGUCCCACUCACUAGUGGUUCAAACUUAAAUCAGCCAGUUAGUACUUCUGCCCUGGCUGCUGGGGCCCUUUGCCUUCCCAAAGAGCCUCUUCCCUAUUAGGGUGACUAGUUAUCCCAGUUUUCCCAGGAUUGUCUCUGUUUAGCACUGAAAGUCCCACAUCCUGGGAAAACCCUCUAUCCCAGACAAACCUGCUGGCUGGUCACCCCAGAAUGGAGAAUCAGCACUCCUACCUAGUAGGUGACUCAUGUUUGAGAGCGCCGUGCUGAUGCUGGAAGCACAGGACUAAAUAUGUCAGCUCUGGGCUGUGCCUGGAGGAACUGGGUGUCUGACAGCAGUGGUGGGAUCGAAAUGGACCAUUUCAGAGAGACGUGGUGUGACAGAGACAAAGGCAAGCAGAGGUCCGAGGGGCUGUCUCAUACAGUACUGUAAGGAAGAAGCUGUGGAGGGGCUUGUGAACUAGGCAUUGGUAAAUGAUGGUGUUUGUGGAUGGGAGAGGGUGGGGGUGGAAACGAACACUGCAAUAGGGCCAGGAGCUUGCAGAGACAUAGUGUGAUGAAAACCUGGCACUUGGGGGAGUAGUGACAGCUCCUCUAAUUCCCACCAAACAUUUGCAGGGCCAAGGGCAAGUGCACAGACAGAAGCCUAUAGAUCAUGUGUCUAAAUAUUUAAAAAUUAAAUCAGGCACAAGCUCUUAAAUAGACAUCCUCUCUUCUUUUCCCUUGACAAACACACUGUCAUACCACUCUGGGAUGCCAGAGUAGAGACUGGAAUUCCCAGGCUCUCUGUUGCUCUGGCUGGAAGGAGACCAGCCAAGAAGGGCUGGGCCCAGGUCUGGCUCCCAUACCUUCUUCCUACCCCCAAAUCUGCUUCUUUCUGUACUACUAGGGGUCUCACACACACGGCCCCUGACACAGCAUCACAAACUGUCCAUGUCCCUUGCAAACAGCUCGCUUGUUCCCGGGGCCGAGGACAAUGACACUGGUUGGGGGAGGGGGUGCGGGGAAGAGGCCUGAGCAGGCCCUGGAAGUGGGCAGGGAAGUCUCAGGUCGAGUAUGGUUUGGGAUGGGUACAGACUCGGGGUGGGCACGUUCCCGAGGGCCCUGCAGACUCUGCCCCGUGGAGUGGGGGGCUCUGGGUAAGGCCAGGGAGGGGCUUUCCUGCCUGGGUGUUAGAAUGAUACUGAGUGGUAAGGAGUUCCCAAUGGCUGGAAUGCUGUCAUAUUCAAGUAAACAGUAGUGGUGGAGGCUGGUUCCUAUUACUAUGAGAGAUGACAAAAUUAAUGGCUCCACAUUUUGUUUUUUAGGAAGAGAAAUGUCAGAAAUGACCUGGGAAAUGGCCUGCCGCUCUUCUUACCCCGUUUGUGCAAAAGUUGGGCAUGUCCAAGUUGAUGUGUGGAAGCUGGCCUUUUGGUCCAAUAAAACUGAGAAGCUAGAAAUGAACAGGACCUAAGCUACACACCCUCUGGGGUUGUCAGAAUGGGAAACUGGCCACUUGCAGAGAAAAGAAGGGAGAGAGAGGGCAAGGGAAAGAAACACCAAUGCAAGUGAGAAGCACCAAUUGGUUGCCUCUUGCACACAGACCUACCAGGGAUCCCACAUGCCUGGAAUGGGGAGCAAACCUGCAAGCCAGGGCAAUAUCCCAAGAUAUAAGAAGAGCCAAACGCCCAAAGUAUGGAGGCCUCAGGAAGAUUUGCAAUGAAUCUGGGGAAGCUGAGCCUGACACGGCCUCCUAGAAGCUGCCAUUGGCUGUUGGGAAGGACUGGAUGAAAGAGUGUGCAAAGACCACUGUCAAGUGCCUGGUACUCCACAAAUGUGGUUUGUUUCCUGUG